CAGGCAGCACCACUGAGCUAAAUCCCUGCCAUUGUGGUGGGUGGGGGGACUAGGGGACUGAACUAUUUUUCUCCCAUCAGAUCUAUUCGCUGUAUCUCCUUUCACCCCUUUGAAGGGGGACUGGGGGACUGAAUCCAAGGUCUUUACACUGAGCUUUAUCCCUAGUUUCUUUUUGGUUUUGUUUUGUUUUUUUUGAGACAAGUUGAAAAAUUCUCCAGGCUGGGCUCAAACUUGCCAUCCUCCUGCCUCAGCCUGGGUUGUGGGAUUACAGACUCUCGAGGCCUUGCCCAGCCCUUCUCCCCUGUCCUGUCAUACUCUUCCUAAACCCCCUCACACACCCAUCUCACCCAUCCUCCUUGCCUCGGCGCACAGCCCCUAAAGCCAACCUCUGAGCCUCCUCCCACCCCUCCCUCAUCUCCCCAUCCUCCUCCCUUGGUCCAGUCCUGUCCUCCCCAGCCUGCGAGAUCCCUGCCUGUGCUGCCCACACACCCAGGCUCCUGAAGGAGCCACUUUCUGAAAUCACACAGAGCAGAGGAGGCAUUUGGAAGUUACGGACUCACAGGAGUCUCCUGCUCCCAGGAAAACCCACUUCCUAGGGCGAGGAAUGUCUCAUGUUUCACUCACAUACAGCCCUGCCCUCCCCUCCUCCAAAACGGCCUGGGAACGGGAGGCCACGGGCACAUCACCCUGCCCAGGUGGCCGGGCAGUAGCACAAUCUGGAAUUUCAGGUCUAUAAAUCACUUGAGGGGCAGGGAGCUCAUAAAAUCUUUUCUCCCAUUGUGCCUGCUGGGUCUGCUGUCCCCUCCUUCUGGCACCCUCCCUCUUUCCUUGAAGACUGGCCCAAGUGGGGGCCUGAGCAUUUAAAGGGAGCCACUGUAUGUGUGGCUGGCCAGAGAGGCUUUGGGCAGAGAAGGUGAGGAGAGGACUCUGGGAGUCUGGAACGGGCUAAGGUUCACGGAAAGCCAGCCCCGAGUUCUGGCCAGGGAUUCCAGGGCUGAGCCUAGGUCUCCCUGCUGUGGAAAGGUCCAUUGCCUGGGUACGGGGUGCUGGGCACUUUGGUGCCAGCCUGCAGCCUGCAGAGAGCUGAGCAUCCUUGGCAGCUGGGCUGUGGAGUGGAGCCUGGCUUCCAGCUGGGCUUUCCCUCCUCUCCUGGUCUCUGCUUGCUUCAGCCCCACUCAUCUGUCCCAGCCAGGACUAUGGCACCUGCAACAGCAGAGGAAGAGAAGGGAUCUUCGAUUGUGGUGGGGCUGCUGGUCAUGGGCAACAUCGUUAUUCUGCCUGAGCAUGGGGAGCGAGGGUUUUGCCAUUCAUCACGUGCCCAGUGGACCACUCUGAGAGGACAGUGGAGGCUCGGAAGAGAGAAGAUGCUGUCUGUAACCCGCUGCCCCAUUCAGCUGUCAGGCCUGGCCCUGUUUGCCGAGACGGUAUGGGUAACGGCUGACCAGUACCGCGUGUACCCGCUGAUGGGCAUCUCGGGCAAGGAUGAUGUCUUCGCUGGGGCCUGGAUUGCCAUCUUCUGCGGCUUCUCCUUCUUCGUGGUGGCCAGCUUCGGUGUGGGAGCAGCACUCUGCCGCCAUCGGUCCAUGAUCCUCACGUACCUGGUGCUGAUGCUCAUUGUCUACAUCUUCGAGUGCGCCUCCUGCAUCACGUCCUACACCCACCGUGACUACAUGGUGUCCAACCCAUCCCUGAUCACCAAGCAGAUGCUGACCCUUUACAGUGCCAACACAGACCAGGGCCAGGAGCUGACUCGCCUCUGGGACCGCGUCAUGAUGGAGCAAGAGUGCUGCGGCACAUCUGGUCCCAUGGACUGGGUGAACUACACGUCAGCCUUCCGUGCGGCCACUCCGGAGGUGGUGUUCCCCUGGCCCCCGCUGUGCUGUCGCCGGACGGGAAACUUUAUCCCCCUCAGUGAAGAGGGCUGUCGCCUGGGCCACGUGGACUACCUGUUCAUCAAGGUGCGCUCCUCACCUCCCCACACCUGCCUCUCUGCCCUUCCCUGGUUUCUGCUCACUCUCUGGUGCUCACUUCCUCCCUCCCACUGUCUGUCUGUCUCCCCCUGGGCUCCCUUCUCUGGCUUUCCCUUUCCCUCCUCUCGCCCUGCUCUCCCCACUCUCCCUGCAAGUCAGCAGGAUGCUCACAGCUCCAUCUGACCCACACCUGCCUCCUGCAACUUGUCCCAGGCUGCACAGGAAUGAGAGCAACAACCACAGCGAUGUCAACAGCACAGUGCCCCUGAUGACCCAUGUUGGUUGGGUUUGUCCUUUGUGCCACCUGUUCUUUUCAGUGCUUUUGCUUUUUAUCUUGUUUAAUCAUCGCCACAGUCUUAUGAGGGCUGCUUCCAGCACAUCGGCCACGCCAUCGACAGCUACACGUGGGGCA